UACAGAGGUCCCAAGCGUUGUUCGGAUUCAUUGGGCGUAAAGGGUGCGUAGGCGGCGCGGUAAGUCGGGUGUGAAAUCUCGGAGCUUAACUCCGAAACUGCAUUCGAUACUGCCGUGCUUGAGGACUGGAGAGGAGACUGGAAUUUACGGUGUAGCGGUGAAAUGCGUAGAUAUCGGGAAGAACACCCGUGGCGAAGGCGGCUCUCUGGGACGGUACUGACGCUGAGACGCGAAAGCGUGGGGAGCGAACAGG
rnacentral:rRNA from 1 species